UACAUACUCCCUCCGCCCGGACAUAUUUGUCCGGCGAAUGGAUGUAUCUAAAUGUAUUUUAGUUCUAGAUACAUCCAUUUGUAUCCAUUUCUAUGACAAGUAUUUCGGGACGGAGGGAGUAUAGU
rfam:Triticum aestivum genome assembly, contig: Triticum_aestivum_CS42_TGACv1_scaffold_499346_6BL